rnacentral:rRNA from 1 species
GAUGAACGCUGGCGGCGUGCCUAAUACAUGCAAGUCGAGCGAACAGACGAGGAGCUUGCUCCUCUGACGUUAGCGGCGGACGGGUGAGUAACACGUGGAUAACCUACCUAUAAGACUGGGAUAACUUCGGGAAACCGGAGCUAAUACCGGAUAAUAUAUUGAACCGCAUGGUUCAAUAGUGAAAGACGGUUUUGCUGUCACUUAUAGAUGGAUCCGCGCCGCAUUAGCUAGUUGGUAAGGUAACGGCUUACCAAGGCAACGAUGCGUAGCCGACCUGAGAGGGUGAUCGGCCACACUGGAACUGAGACACGGUCCAGACUCCUACGGGAGGCAGCAGUAGGGAAUCUUCCGCAAUGGGCGAAAGCCUGACGGAGCAACGCCGCGUGAGUGAUGAAGGUCUUCGGAUCGUAAAACUCUGUUAUUAGGGAAGAACAAAUGUGUAAGUAACUAUGCACGUCUUGACGGUACCUAAUCAAAAAGCCACGGCUAACUACGUG